rnacentral:rRNA from 1 species
UGCGUAGGCGGAAUAUUAAGUCAGUGGUGAAAUCCUGCGGCUCAACCGUAGAACUGCCAUUGAUACUGGUAUUCUUGAAUGUAGUUGAGGUAGGCGGAAUGUGUAAUGUAGCGGUGAAAUGCUUAGAUAUUACACAGAACACCGAUUGCGAAGGCAGCUUACUAAACUAUGAUUGACGCUGAGGCACGAAAGCGUGGGGAGCGAACAGGAUUAGAUACCCUGGUAGUCC